AUUAUGGCUCAGGAUGAACGCUGGCGGCAGGCCUAAUACAUGCAAGUCGAGCGAGAAUCAGUGAUGUAGAGAUUCGUCAAAGCGGAUCUGAGGAAAGCGGCGGACGGGUGAGUAACGCGUAGGCAACCUGCCCUUAGCAGAGGGAUAGCCAUUGGAAACGAUGAUUAAAACCUCAUAAUGCUGUUUUUUACACAUGUAGAGACAGCCAAAGAUUUAUCGGCUAAGGAUGGGCCUGCGUCUGAUUAACUAGUUGGUGAGGUAACGGCCCACCAAGGUGACGAUCAGUAGCCGACCUGAGAGGGUGAUCGGCCACAUUGGAACUGAGACACGGUCCAAACUUCUACGGAAGGCAGCAGUAAGGAAUCUUGCACAAUGGGGGAAACCCUGAUGCAGCAACGCCGCGUGAACGAUGAAGGCCUUAGGGUUGUAAAGUUCUGAUCUGUGGGAAGAAGAAGUGACGGUACCACAGGAGAAAGCCCCGGCUAAAUACGUGCCAGCCGCGGC
rnacentral:rRNA from 1 species